GACAGAGGGUGCAAACGUUGUUCGGAAUUACUGGGCGUAAAGCGCGUGUAGGCUGACCGGAAAGUCGGGCGUGAAAUCCCUGAGCUCAACUCAGGAACUGCACUCGAAACUCUCGGUCUAGAGUGGUGGAGAGGGAAGUGGAAUUCCUGGUGUAGAGGUGAAAUUCGUAGAUAUCAGGAGGAACACCAGUGGCGAAGGCGGCUUCCUGGACACCAACUGACGCUGAGACGCGAAAGCGUGGGGAGCAAACAGG
rnacentral:rRNA from 1 species